rnacentral:rRNA from 1 species
ACGGGGGGGGCAAGCGUUGUUCGGAAUUACUGGGCGUAAAGGGCGCGUAGGCGGCCCUCUAAGUCGGACGUGAAAUCCCUCGGCUCAACCUUUUAACUGCGUCCGAUACUGGAGGGCUUGGAUCCGGGAGAGGGAUGCGGAAUUCCAGGUGUAGCGGUGAAAUGCGUAGAUAUCUUGCGGACCACCGGUGGGGUAGGCGGCAUCCUGGACCGGCAUCGACGCUGAGGCGCGAAAGCCAGGGGAGCAAACGG